GAGUUUUGACUACAGCACAGACAGACAACAAGACACAGAUCGCCUUGGCUUUCCAACUAGCCGGAGCAGAGAGGUCUUCCUGGACUGUUUUCUUUCCCUUUUUCUGAAACAAAUCGAACCUGCUUUGGACUGGGGACUCGGGGGAGCACCGGGAGCUUGCACCCGUGGACUACCGGGAGCCCAGCCUGGGCAGCGGCAUUUUCCAGCGCCAGAGGGACUGAUAACAGAGCGAACACCCACAGGAAAGAGACCCUCUGAAGUUUGUCAUCUCUCCUGAACGGCGAGAGAUCUAAUUGUUGGACUGUCAUUGGAGUGGACUUGCAAGACAAUUCACAAGACCUGGCUGGACUGGAUAAUAGAAAAAAAACCUACCUCACACUCAAACCCAUGAUGAGCCUUACCUCAGCUAUCCUCCUGCUUGCUCUGAACAGCCUGACCACUGCCUGGAUCGUCCCUCAGCCACGACAGAACAUCUGGGUGACCCUGGCACACACACUUCAACAAGACAAUAUCUGCCUGUCCACCGCAGCAGCAAAAGACCCUAUGUCUACCUGUCUGGUAGGA